rnacentral:rRNA from 1 species
GAGUUUGAUCAUGGCUCAGGAUGAACGCUGGCGGCGUGCUUAACACAUGCAAGUCGAACGAUGAACCUCACUUGUGGGGGGAUUAGUGGCGAACGGGUGAGUAACACGUGAGUAACCUGCCCUUGACUCUGGGAUAAGCCUGGGAAACCGGGUCUAAUACUGGAUACGACCUUCUGGCGCAUGCCAUGUUGGUGGAAAGCUUUUGUGGUUUUGGAUGGACUCGCGGCCUAUCAGCUUGUUGGUGGGGUAAUGGCCUACCAAGGCGACGACGGGUAGCCGGCCUGAGAGGGUGACCGGCCACACUGGGACUGAGACACGGCCCAGACUCCUACGGGACGCAGCAG